rnacentral:rRNA from 1 species
UGGGGAAUUUUGGACAAUGGGCGAAAGCCUGAUCCAGCAAUGCCGCGUGUGUGAAGAAGGCCUUCGGGUUGUAAAGCACUUUGUCCGGAAAGAAAUCCUUGGCUCUAAUACAGUCGGGGGAUGACGGUACCGGAAGAAUAAGCACCGGCUAACUACGUGCCAGCAGCCGCGGUAAUACGUAGGGUGCAAGCGUUAAUCGGAAUUACUGGGCGUAAAGCGUGCGCAGGCGGUUUGCUAAGACCGAUGUGAAAUCCCCGGGCUCAACCUGGGAACUGCAUUGGUGACUGGCAGGCUAGAGUAUGGCAGAGGGGGGUAGAAUUCCACGUGUAGCAGUGAAAUGCGUAGAGAUGUGGAGGAAUACCGAUGGCGAAGGCAGCCCCCUGGGCCAAUACUGACGCUCAUGCACGAAAGCGUGGGGAGCAAACAGGAUUAGAUACCCUGGUAGUCCACGCCCUAAACGAUGUCAACUAGUUGUGGGGAUUCAUUUCCUAGUAACGUAGCUAACGCGUGAAGUUGACCGCCUGGGGAGUACGGUCGCAAGAUUAAAACUCAAAUGAAUUGAC